rnacentral:rRNA from 1 species
GUGCCAGCAGCCGCGGUAAUACAGAGGGUGCAAGCGUUAAUCGGAGUUACUGGGCGUAAAGGGCGCGUAGGCGGUGAUAUGAGUGUGAUGUGAAAGCCCCGGGCUUAACCUGGGAAGUGCAUCGCAAACGAUAUGACUAGAGUAUAUGAGAGGGUGGCGGAAUUUCCGGUGUAGCGGUGAAAUGCGUAGAGAUCGGAAGGAACGUCAAUGGCGAAGGCAGCCACCUGGCAUCAUACUGACGCUGAGGCGCGAAAGCGUGGGGAGCGAACAGGAUUAGAUACCCGCGUAGUCC